UGUGAAGUGAGGUAGGUGAUCCAAUUGCCCCUGCAGCCUGUUCUGCAUAUCAGAUGGAAAGCUCAUGAACGGGGCCUGCAGAAUGAUAUCCAGACCCUUAACGCUGGUUGAUGAAAUGAGUGCUGUC